GGGGAAUUGUUCGCAAUGGGCGCAAGCCUGACGACGCAACGCCGCGUGGAGGACGAAGAUCUUCGGGUCGUAAACUCCUGUCGAGUGGGAAGAAUGCUUCGGGGGUGAAUAACCUCCGGAAUUGACGGUACCACUAAAGGAAGCCCCGGCUACCUCCGUGCCAGCAGCCGCGGUAAUACGGAGGGUGCGAGCGUUGUCCGGAAUCAUUGGGCGUAAAGGGCGCGUAGGUGGCCCGGUCAGCGUGCGGUGAAAGCUCGGGGCUCAACCCCGAGUCGGCCGUGCGAACUGCUGGGCUCGAGCACUGUAGAGGCAGGCGGAAUUCCGGGUGUAGCGGUGGAAUGCGUAGAGAUCCGGAAGAACACCGGUGGCGAAGGCGGCCUGCUGGGCAGUAGCUGACACUGAGGCGCGACAGCGUGGGGAGCAAAC
rnacentral:rRNA from 1 species